rnacentral:misc_RNA from 1 species
GAUGAAGAACGCAGCGAAAUGCGAUACGUAAUGUGAAUUGCAGAAUUCAGUGAAUCAUCGAGUCUUUGAACGCACAUUGCGCCCCCUGGUAUUCCGGGGGGCAUGCCUGUCCGAGCGUCAUUGCUGCCCUCAAGCACGGCUUGUGUGUUGGGCCUCCGUCCUCCUCCCGGUGGACGGGCCCGAAAGGCAGCGGCGGCACCGCGUCCGGUCCUCGAGCGUAUGGGGCUUCGUCACCCGCUCUUGUAGGCCCGGCCGGCGCUUGCCGAAACAUCAAUCUUUUUUCCAGGUUGACCUCGGAUCAGGUAGGGAUACCCGCUGAACUUAAGCAUAUCAAUAAGCGGAGGA